CACCGGCGGCUCGAGUGGUGGCCACUUUUAUUGGGUCUAAAGCGUCCGUAGCCGGCUUGGCAAGUCCCCUGGGAAAUCUGGCGGCUUAACCGUCAGGCGUCCAGAGGAUACUGCCAGGCUUGGGACCGGGAGAGGUGAGAGGUACCUCAGGGGUAGGGGUGAAAUCCUGUGAUCCCUGAGGGACCACCAGUGGCGAAGGCGUCUCACUAGAACGGGUCCGACGGUCAGGGACGAAAGCUGGGGGCACGAACCGG
rnacentral:rRNA from 1 species